AACCCAAAUUACCUCUUUCUUUGGCUUCCAAGAGGACUAAUCCCCUGUCUAGUGCUUUAUCAGUCAGUUGAGAAAGACUGAGACCAACCUGCCAAUCCAAACAGAAUAUAUUGAAAAAAUCAUAUUACCACACUGCAGAACCUCGCCGUAAUUCACCCAGCAGCUCAGCUGACGCCCUUGAUGAGACCAGCAGCAGGCAGUUGUUGUUCCAAAGUCAUACCUGUCCACAGAUUGAAAGUCCUUGGCUGACAGUCCUGGGAAUGGCAGGAAUCAUGUGGCAAAAGAAGCAUUUCAGCUUGAUAGACCCUAUAAAUUUCCAAGAGCCUUCUUUUGCAAAGGCAAAGGAAGAAGUGAGGCUGAGUUGGCCACAUCUCCCAGGGACAGAGGGACAAGAUUAUGCUGGCCACAAGGAGCCCUGUCCAGCUCCUACUUCAUCCCUUUGCUCUGCGGAUGGUCCCAGCACCUGUGAAUGAGCCACUUUGUUGGUCAGCAGCUUUAUUUUUAGGGCAUGUUAAUCCCACUCAUGGCAAAUGAAUUUGUGACUAUUGCAGACAUCGGUGGGAUCCCUGCCGGGUUGGGGGACACGGCAGGAGGGUCCUUGAGGUCCCUGGGAGCUGGACCUGCCGGUUGACAUUGGGCAGAGGGAGGGGACCAG